UUGAACCUGUGUCCCCUGCAUUGGCAGGCGGAUUCUCAACCACUGCGCCACCAGGGAAGCCCUAAUGUCUGCCUCUUAAUUCACAACUAUAAUGUCUGCCUCUUAAUAUAACAGAGUACUACUCUUCUCAGCAUAAGCUAUCGAGGAAGCUUAUAAUCAGAGGGUGCUGAAUGAGCAUGGAGUUGGGACAAGAGGAAGUAGUUACAUAAUUGGAAUUUUUAGUGCUCUCAGACUAGGGGAACCUGAUGCCUCCGUCUCUAUUAUUGAGAUGGCUGUGUCCAGGGGACAGUAAUACUCAAAAUAUGUGGACCAGGUCUCUCUCCUCCCUGGACAGUGUUCAGGUAGGCCUUCCUCUGUGACUACAUCACUUUGUUUCUAUUGCUGACAUCUCCCUUCCUGAGUGACCUACUCUUUGAGCUCAUUAAUAUCUUCAGUAAAGCCUUAUUCUGGUCUAAGAGUCAUCUUCCCCUCUUUAGGGGAAUUUUUUAUGUCUUUGUUCUGAUUCAUAUCUAUUAUUUCUUAUUUUCAGAUUGUUAGAGAAUAUCUCAUUUUUGCCUUAAUAUUUUAAUAACAAUAAAAAUAAUAGCUAACUUUUUGGAUGCUUACUGUGUGCCUGACCCCAUUCUAAGUGCUUAUAUAUACUAACUCAUUUAUCCCCAUAACAACACUUUGAAGUAGGAGUUAUUAUUAUCAUCAUUUCAUAGAUGAACAGUAAGUACCUUCAGUAUUUUCCCCCUUAGGGUUCCAGUCCCUUCCUCUAGCUCUGUUUUCUUCCUGAGGCUGUAUGUUGUUUUGCACUGUGUUCGGAAUGCUAUGAUUCAUUCUGAAUGGCUAACAAAGAUAUUUAUAAUGUUAAAAUCUUUACGUGCAUUCUUUGCAUCUGAUUUCUACCUCAUCUUACAGAUGAGGAAGUGGACCCAAGAGGAUUAAACGACCAAAUUAAAUGUCCGAAUCAGGCAGAACAAUGGAAUGAACCCAAAUCUUUCUGACCCUACUGUUUCUACUGUGCUAUGUUUCUACUCUGCUAGUAAGGUGGAGAUUCAUAGGAAGAGACCAAUAUUCUUUCCAAGUUACUGCAUGACUGUCAGAUGAAAGCAGGCCCAAGUAUAUUUUCUUCAUGAACUAGAUCAGAAUGACACAUAAAAGGAUUUUUGCAAAAUAGAGACAAAAUGAACACUUGUUUCUAGUGCUUUGCAAUUGCGGGAUCUUAGUUCCCCCACCAGGGGUUGAACCUGGACCAGGGCAGUGAAAGCGCUGAGUCCUAACCACUGGACCGCCGGGGAAUUCCCACAAAGUUAGGGUUUUAGAAGGAGCAAAAACGAGUAGUAGAUUAUUUCCCAUAACUUUCAGGAUCAAGGUCACACUCUUGGGUUGGAACACGGGCUCUUCCACAUCAUGCCUGCCUAUCAGUAGCCUCAUCUCCUGACACUCUCAUCAGUCAUUUGAACAAGCUCUCAAUUAUCUCGCACUCUGCCUGUGCCCAUACUGUUCCCUUUGCUUGGAUGCCCUUUUCCUUACCUCAUGUGCCAGUUGCUGCUUGUACCUCAAAACUCAGCUCACACAUCACUUCUCUGAUUUAGAUACCUCUUCUCUGUGUUCCUUGAAUAGCGUAGUCAAUAGAAGAAGGCCUGGAGUUUGAAUUCUAGCUCUGCUACUUGCUAACAUGUAUGAUCUUGGCCACUUAACCCUUUCUAAGCCUUUGAUGUUCCCAUCUAUAAAAUUGGAAGAAUAACAUUACUCUCCCACAGGGUUAUCAUAGGAUUGAAUGAAAUAAUAUAAUCAAACAGUUUGCCUGGAACAAGGUAAAAAUUCAGUAAAUGGCAGCAGCUGUUAUUCUCAUGGCUUCUCUCAAACUGUCAGUCAUAUUUGUUAUAAUCACUGAUUUAUUUGGAGGUAUUUGAAAGAUUAUUGCAUAUAUUAAAUACAUGAAAUAUCUAAAACCUUCUAGUAAGUGGUUAAGUAUCAAACAUGCUAUUUCAGGAUUUUGUGUAAUUUUCAGGAAAUCAUUAGAAAAAAUAGGGUACACAGUUCCCUGGCUUUGAUUUAGGUAUGAAUCUUAAGGAGAGCCCUGGAUUUCAUUACUUUGGGAGACCAUUUAGCGCUCUGGUACCAAAACAUUUCUCAUUGCACCGAGAUUUCUUCUGGUCACUCUGCCUUUUUUUCCCUCAGAUCACGGAGCUGAAGGCUGAUUUUCAAUACCAAGAAUCUCAGAUGAGAGCCAAAAUGAACCAGAUGGAGAAAACCCACAAAGAAGUUACAGAACAAUUGCAGGCCAAAAACCGAGAGCUCCUGAAGCAGGCAGCUGCCUUGUCCAAGAGCAAGAAGUCAGAGAAGUCAGGAGCUAUAACCUCUCCAUGAGAGACCACAAGGACGCUCCUGGCAAUAGCAAUGGAUUCCUGGGUUAGGGUGGCAACGUAGCUGUUCUCUGGGAAUUGCAAGCUUUCUUAAGAAAUCUGUUUUACUAUAGUUAUCCUUCUUUGUGCGAUUGCAGUGGGACUGAGUGGAAACACCUGGUUUGUGCUGUAUUAUGACUGCAUGCUUGAAUGUUGGGGUUUCAGGCUCUCUCUCUCUCUCUCUCUCUCUCUCUCUCUCUCUCUCUCUCUCUCUCUCUCUCUCUCUCUCUCUCUCUCUCUCUCUCACUCUCUCACUCUCUCACACUCCCCUCUCUACCCCCAACCCUUCUCUCAGUACUACUGUCUCUCUGUCUGUCUCUCUUUUGUUACUUUUUUUUCUGUGUGUGGUGGUCACUGCUCAGUAUUAUGUGCAGAAUGUUUUUUUUUUUUUUUUUGGUCCAUCAUUGCAUCCUGCCAUACCCAUGAGCAAAUAGUUGGCAUUAAUUACGUAUCACUGCCACCCUCUGAACUUUGAAAACUGCCACCUUAAGACUUGGUACAGUGGAAGAGAAUUUUUCUCUCCAAUAAACCUUUUGCUUCAGGGUAUACUCUUGGGUUUUUUUCCAGGUAUAUUAUGUAUGAACUUUGUACUAUGUAUAGCCAGAGUUUUAUUUAUUUUUUAAAAAAAGAAACUUUUUCUUGAUAAAGGAGUAAUGGUAGCCUAGCUUGUUCUUCUUGUAAAAGUGAUGCCUCUUAAAAAAAAGUCCUACUCUCUAGCGUUUAGUAAAAGAAUCAGAUCUUUUCUUUCUUGUUACCUUGGAGUCUUAAAAACUGAUUGCUAGGGUGAAACAAUUCAAUAUGUAAGUAUGGAGUUAAGUGCCUUUUGGAGGAUUUCUUGGAAGACCAUGUAAGAAGAUACUUAAGGGAGGUAGCAAAGAUUUGGACAGUCUGUCUUUCUAAGUAAAGGCAGAAAGAAGGGUUGUCCAGGUUGUACUGGACACUUCUCUCCCCCACCCCUUUCUUGAUUGUUUUACGUGACUGAUUUUAAAUUCUCACACUGCCACCUCUUUUUAACAAAAUGCCCUUUACUUAUAUCAGUUGUCAUACUGGGCCAUUUUCAGGUAACUUUUUUUUUACAUGAUUCAAAAUGGGAUAAUAUUCAGACUACAGAGCAUUUUGGAGGUUAGUAUGAGCUGCUUCAGUACGGACUGUAAGUCCUGCUGGGAGAAUGAUAUCACUGUACCUUUUCCCCACUCGUCGUCACCCACCCCAGCCUGUACACUCCCUGCCUUUCAUGGAAAUGUGUUGAAAACAGGUGCUUCUCAGAAGCAGCUUGGCCGCAGCCUGAACUGUGUCCUGUUUUCCCUUCUUGACCCAGUAGGCACAUGGAUUCUCUUUUCCAGGUGAGAGGAUAGAUUUGCUUUUCUAGCCAUACUCUCAGGUCCUCUAGAUGAUGUUUGUGAAAGGAACUAGAGAUGUGUAGUGUGCCAUGAAACAGUAAAACCAGCUACCUUGGAAUCAUUAAUGUAGGGGGUGGUACUAGAGUUAGAGGUAAUCAUAAGGGCAGAUGACAUUUGUACCUCAGUCUACCAAAAGUGUAGCAGUAAGUUUAACUUGCUAGGCAUUUCCUAGGAGCAAAUGCUUCUAAUUUGUGAGCAUUCUCACAAGUGGAGCCAUGCACAUAAUUGGACAGAGAUGUGGAAAUGAGUGGCUUCCUUCUGGUAAGAGAAACAAUGGACCAUGUUACUUAUCUAUCACUCUAGUAGAGGAUGUAAUUUUCCCUUCUAAGCAAGGGAAAUGGCAGUGCUAAAUAGUUUUGUAACUUUUUGAAUGAGAAACUUUUAGGUAAAAAACUGUCAGAUAAUAUUUUCAGAUGCAUUUACAUUGACUAUGGGGAAAAGAUUGUGAAAAAAGUUACAGUCAUUUUUUUUUUAAUUUUAAAGACUUGAGAAAUUCUGUUACAUGAAGUGACAAUGUAAAAACACAUUUAGUUUUAUACUAAAUCUUUUUUUAAGGUCUUGGCAUUUAAUAUAAAGCAAAUCCACACAUUUUCUAACUUUCCACAAGUUCCAAAAAGGGAAGGAAGAAACCUCAGUCUUGAAAUUUUGGUUUUUAAAAAUCAUGACACUGUUUUACCAUGAAAUUGAGUAGCUAACUUUUGGUAACACCUUUUGUUUAUUUGUAUGUUUGUAAUAAUGGACCUUUUAAAACACAGGAAUGUUUUGGUUUGUACAGACUUUGAAAAAUGUGUGUUAAUAAAAAUUCAUAUUGACUUAAGUAUAA